rnacentral:rRNA from 1 species
UUUAAAUGGCUGCAGUAUAUUAACUGUGCAAAGGUAGCAUAAUCAUUAGUCUUUUAAUUGAAGGCUGGUAUGAAUGGUUGGACGAAAUAUUAACUGUUUCAUUAAAAUUUAUAAUAGAAUUUUAUUUUUUAGUUAAAAAGCUAAAAUUUAUUUAAAAGACGAGAAGACCCUAUAAAUCUUUAUAUUUUAUUUUUUAUAAUUAAAUAGAUUAUUUUUAUUAUAAUAAUAAUAAAUAUUUUAUUGGGGUGAUAUUAAAAUUUAAUAAACUUUUAAUUGUUUAAAUCAUUAAUUUAUGAUUAAUUGAUCCAUUAUUAAUGAUUAAAAAAAUAAGUUACUUUAGGGAUAACAGCGUAAUUUUUUUGGAGAGUUCAUAUUGAUAAAAAAGAUUGCGACCUCGAUGUUGGAUUAAGAUAUAAUUUUAGGUGUAGUCGCUUAAAUUUUAAGUCUGUUCGACUUUUAA